CACAACAUUAUAAAAAUUCACUACAAAUAAAUUUAUUUUCACUAUAAAUAGUUUGUUUACAAAAUUUAAAUCUCAGACACGGCUCUGUGUCGCGUUGCGACUAAGCCAGUUUUUUUCCAAAUAAAAGCACGUAAAGUUUAAUAUUUUACCUUGAAAUAUUUUUAAACCAUAUUUUGUAGCUUGUUUGGAUUUUUUGGGAAUGCUAUCUUCUUUAAUUUUGGCAAUUUCCUCCUCUGUUACUACGGCAAAACGAGCAGCCAUUUUGAAAAAAAAGCUAUAGUCACUGACCAGUGACUAUCACUUCAGAGAC